rnacentral:snRNA from 1 species
AUUUCUCGUCCUUUUGGCUAAGAUCAUGUUCUCAUAAGCUUAAUAUCUGAUAUGAGGACCAUGUAUCCUCCUCGAUAUUAAACUUAUCUAUGUUAGGGGGUGGAUGUGCUGCGCUUGCGCUGUCUCCACAAUUAGUUGACCCGGUAUUGCAGUACCUCCAGGGGGAAAAAAAUAAAG